UCAGAGACUGGAAACACACACACACACACACACACACACACACACACACACACACACGGACAGACAGAAGAACAGGAUGGACUCCGGAGAAGGGGGUUGUGGAAGUGAGGAUUCUGCUACUAAGGAACCCUCCCAUUUUUUCUGCCCGUCUGUGAUCUCUGUGAGACCUCCAUACCUGAUGAGAGCCUGGGAGGCACAAGAGUCUGAGGAAUGCAAGACUCUAUAUUGUAUGAAGGAGAAACACAGAACUAACAUGGCCGUCCGGGGAAAAUUUCCUAGAAGAAAUGACUUCCAUGCUGAGAUAGAGUUGGCGGUGACCUAUGAUGUAGGCUCCAAUUACUGCUCCAGCACCUUGCCUGCCUGCAGCCAUCUCCCCUCUAUGAUGGUUAUGGAUAUACCCUCUGAAGCCUUACACCCCCACUAAACUCUUCCUUAAGUCGUCUUGGUUGUGGUGUGCUUUGUCACAGCAAUUGCAAAGUAACUACGCCAGGGGUAGAGGGCAGACAGGAGGAAGACGAGAAGGGGGAAGAAGAAGGAAGAGGAGGAGAAAAUAAAGGAGAGGAAGAAGAAGACAAAGGGGAGGAGGAGAGAAGAAACAUGAAGAAGAGAAGGAAAAGGAGGAGGAGGGGUAAGAGAGGGAGCGAUUCAUGGAAUUGAAG
rnacentral:lncRNA from 1 species